UUAAGAUAGUUAAAUGAAUAACAAAACUCUGAAGAGGUUUUAUUGAGGCGUUAAAUUCCCUCUCUUGACA
rnacentral:tRNA from 1 species